UCUACCAGCCAGGUCUCUGCUCAGAUGGCAUCGUGGACACUCUUUAUGAGAACCUACCUUGCAGUGCUGUAGCUGCCGUCUGCUUGUGCUUUGGCUCCUAAGCGCAUGGUUAAGGAAAUACUCAGCUUUCAGGGUUUUUGUUUGUUUUAUCACGAGUGAAAUUCCUGGCACAGAGCAGGGAUCCAAUGUCAUUGCUGUUACUGUUGAUGAAGAUGAAAUGGUGAUCAAGACUAAAGAAGGUGAAGAAGACUAACGGUGAUGAAGAUAAAGAUGACACUGGGAAUGUAUGAUCCUAACCAGAGCUGGCGGAAGAAGCCACACUGAGCUCUUAGUCAUCUCAGCAUGUGCCUUGGAAGUUUUGUUUAUUGGUAUUUUCCCCCCUCGUGGGUUUUUUCUGAGCUGGCUGGGGAAGGGGUAGAGUUGUCAGCGUGGGUGUCCGCCUAAACACUCUUUAGGUCGUUUAGUCUAUUUGUCUUUUGUCUCAGUUUACCAAAAGUCAUCUCGCGGAAAGGAGGGGCUAGGGUCUGGUAAGUCGAAGGCUCCAGUGUGGGGGUUCCAGUCACGUGACAUCUCCUGCUGCCCUCCCUGGGGGCCACUCCUGGCUAAUGUAUUACCCGCUUCGCGGCACACUUCACUUGGUGGCAGCUUCACUUGGGCCAAGUCAGUGCUGUUUCCUGGGUUCGUGGAUUGAAACUUAUUUCUUCAGAGAGCAAGCCAUCAACAAUGAGCAGGCUGGUGACCAAAGGAGGCCUUCUUUACUGUGGGGUGUCUUCUGAUGCAGCAGUGAGGGAGGGCAGGUCGGUUGAGAUCACCAACCCAUCAACCGGCCCUGUGCAAAUGCCCAAUAAGUGACCCUUUUGAUGUCAAGGGGCUGAAACUUCCACCCUCAGAUCGUACCAACACCACCAUUUGUGAACAUGCGUCCUAUGAGGAGCCAUGAAGCUUGACGAUGCUUGUGCAGAUCAUUGAUUACCUCACUUCUCCUCUCCAGUCAUCUGUCUCCACACUUCAGACCGCCCUGCCCUUCAUCCUAUACAUUUUACCCCAAGCCCUGGAUCGGGGAGACAGAUCCGAGAGCUUAUACCUCCUGUCUCCUUGCAGAUCGAUCUCGCAAUAAAUCUGUAUUCUUUUCUCAAAAGCUGAUGCUGUAAUAAUUGGCUUUUUUAUGUGCACCAGGUAGGAGCACUGCAUGUUUGUGUGGUAACACAGUUGACAUAUUUUUACAAACUGAGCACACCCAGGUA